GGGUCGUUAGCUCAGCUGGCAGAGCACCUGACUCUUAAUCAGGGGGCCGCAGGUUCGAUCCCUGCACGACCCACCA
rnacentral:tRNA from 1 species